rnacentral:rRNA from 1 species
CCUGGUUGAUCCUGCCAGUAGUCAUAUGCUUGUCUCAAAGAUUAAGCCAUGCAUGUGUAAGUACAGGCCGACUUAAGGCGAAACCGCGGACGGCUCAUUAAAUCAGAUAUAACUCAUUGGAUCUCUGCUGAACCGCAUUACUUGGAUAACUGUGGUAAUUCUAGAGCUAAUACAUGCCUUUGUAGUCUCCGACCGCGAGGGAGGAGCGCUUUUAUUAGACCAAAACCCUCGGCAGCCGGUUCCCGCAAGGGGCCGGCCGCACACAUCUUGGUGAAUCAGAAUAACUUUUGCCGAGCGCACGACCCCUCCCGUAACCCGGGUUGGGUCGGCGCCGCGUCCUGCAGGCGUCUGCCUUAUCAGCUCUCGAUUGUAGGUUAAACGCCUACAAUGGCUAUCACGGGUAACGGGGAAUCAGGGUUCGAUUCCGGAGAGGGAGCCUGAGAAACGGCUACCACAUCUAAGGAAGGCAGCAGGCGCGCAAAUUACCCACUCCCGGCACGGGGAGGUAGUGACGAAAAAUACUGUUGCGAGCCCCGAACGGGGCCUCGCAAUUGGAAUGAGUACACUUUAAAUCCUUGUACGAGGAUCGAGUGGAGGGCAAGUCUGGUGCCAGCCGCCGCGGUAAUUCCAGCUCCACUAGCGUAUAUUAAAGUUGUUGCGGUUGAAACGCUCGUAGUUUGACUUCUGCUCCGGACCGGCGGUCCGCCUUAGCGGCGGCUACUGCCGGGUUCCGAGCUGUGUCCCCGCCGGCGCACAUGGGGUUUUUAUGCCCUUAACCGGGUGUCCCCUUGUGGCCGGCACGUUUACUUUGAAAAAAUUAGAGUGCUCAGAGCAGGCUGGUUUUUGCUUACAGCCCGAAUGGUCGUGCAUGGAAUGAUGGAACAGGACCUCGGUUCUAUUUUGUCGGUUUUUCGGAACCCGAGGUAAUGAUUAAUAGAAGCAGACGGGGGCAUUCGUACUGCGACGCUAGAGGUGAAAUUCUUAGACCGUCGCAUGACGACCUACUGCGAAAGCAUCUGCCAAGGAUGUUUUCAUUGAUCAAGAACGAAAGUUAGAGGUUCGAAGGCGAUCAGAUACCGCCCUAGUUCUAACCUUAAACGAUGCUGACUAGCGAUCCGCCGCAGUUAUUCCCAUGACCCGGCGGGUAGCUUCCGGGAAACCAAAGUCUUUGAGUUCCGGGGGAAGUAUGGUUGCAAAGCUGAAACUUAAAGGAAUUGACGGAAGGGCACCACCAGGAGUGGAGCCUGCGGCUCAAUUUGACUCAACACGGGGAAACUCACCAGGCCAGGACACCGGAAGGAUUGACAGAAUGAAGGCUCUUUCUCGAUUCGGUGGGUGGUGGUGCAUGGCCGUUCUUAGUUGGUGGAGUGAUCUGUCUGGUUAAUUCCGAUAACGAACGAGACUCUAGCCUGC